rnacentral:rRNA from 1 species
GUAGGGGGCAAGCGUUGUCCGGAAUUAUUGGGCGUAAAGCGCGCGCAGGCGGUCUCUUAAGUCUGAUGUGAAAGCCCACGGCUCAACCGUGGAGGGUCAUUGGAAACUGGGAGACUUGAGUGUAGGAGAGGAAAGUGGAAUUCCACGUGUAGCGGUGAAAUGCGUAGAUAUGUGGAGGAACACCAGUGGCGAAGGCGACUUUCUGGCCUACAACUGACGCUGAGGCGCGAAAGCGUGGGGAGCAAACAGGGAUUAGAUACCCUGGUAGUCCACGCUGUGAACGAUGAGUGCUAGGUGUUAGGGGUUUCGAUGCCCUUAGUGCCGAAGUUAACACAUUAAGCACUCCGCCUGGGAGUACGGCCGCAAGGCUG